ensembl:lncRNA
AUGCUCUGCUGUGCAGCAUGGGUGGUGCUCGCUCUGCUCCCCAGUUUGCCCAGCGCUGAGUGUGGGAUGUGGCACAGUGUCCUGGGGGUGAAAUGAGCACUGAGGUCAUGAAGACAGCUGCACACCCGAGAUCCCUACAAGAGGAUUUGCUUUGUCUCCAUUGUAAUGCCCUUAUGGCAUCCAUGGAGCUGCGGGAGCUGACUUUGGGGCAGAGAGCUGAGCCUCCUCCUUAGCAGUGAACCCACACCUCUGCCCAUGCACAAAGCUGAGGCAGCCACAGCUUUGGAUGGGAUCGCUCCGUUGCAAAGGGGAAGCGCUGCUCUGAGCUCUGCCUUAAUGCCUCUCUGUGCCAUUCCAGUCUGCAGGGUCUUCCGUGCAUGCCGUGCUCCAAGCAUCAGAGUCACUGGGCAACGCCGUGCAGCAGCAGGGCGGGCUCUGCAAAGGGAAUUGCAUCUGAACAGCGUUGCAUCUGAAUAGCGCUGCACCUGCAGAGUGUUGCAUCUGAACAGCAUUGCAUCUGAACAGCACGGUACCUGCACAGUAUUGCAUCUGCACAGUGUUACAUCCAAACAGCGUUGCACCUGAGCAACACAGUGCCUGCACAGUGUUUGCAUCUGAACAGCACAGUAUCUGCACAGCGUUGCAUCUGAAUAGCAUUGCACCUGCACAGUGUUGCAUCUGAACAGCAUUGCACCUGCUCAGCAUUGCAUCUGAACAACACAGUACCUACACAGCGUUGCAUCUGAACAGAACAGCACCUGCAUAUCAUUGCAUCUGAACAGCAUUGCGACUGCGUGGCACUGCAUCUGAAUAGCACUGCGCCUGCACUGCUUUGCACCUGCACGGUGUUGCACCUGCACUGCUUUGCACCUGCACAGUAAUGGCAUUGCACUUGCACAGAAGGAGAGGGAGAGAAAGCAGCCCUGGGAUCGGGACCUGCUGCUCACAGGGCCCCGCAGGGCUGUGCCCUCACUGUUUGCCCACAUCCCACCGAAAUCCCACGGGAUCGAUGGGGGUCGGCCGGGUGCACCGCCCCGAGGCCAUGGGAUCGAUGAGGAGUGAAGGAAAUGCGGCCGAAGAUGCGCGGUUUUACAGCUUCCUCCCCAAGAACGGCCGUGCUUUAUGGACUGCUGGUAAUUGCCAAUUAAUUGCGCUGCAGCCGAGGGCAGGAAAGCAGCCCGCAUCCUCCAUACGGGGUGGGCAGGAUAUCAGAGUCCGAAGGUGUUACCACUCCUCCACUUAAUGAAGAAAAAUCACGAUGGAGGCGGCCGGAGGCAACGCAAUGGGAUUGCAGCGGGGAGGAGAGGACUGUGUUAACACCCAUUAAUAAUAAAUAACCGCCAUAAUGAGCUCUAAUUAAUUUGGUCACACGUUAGAGAUCGCUUCCUUCUUUUUUAAGCUUGUAGGUUUUUCUGUGCCGGAGCAUCCCUGCGCCCUGGCUGUUCCCAGCCCCUUCCAUUCAACGUGUGAUAGAUGGAUUGAUACGCAGCUUUAAUCAGUGUAAUAUAUAAAGCACUUAAUUUGCCUUAUUAAAAGUCUGCACUUUGG